rnacentral:rRNA from 1 species
AGAGUUUGAUCAUGGCUCAGGACGAACGCUGGCGGCGUGCUUAACACAUGCAAGUCGAGCGGUAAGGCUCCUUCGGGAGUACACGAGCGGCGAACGGGUGAGUAACACGCGAGUAACCUGCCCCUUUCUUCGGAAUAACCAGUGGAAACGCUGGCUAAUGCCGAAUACGACCACCGAAGGCAUCUUCUGGUGGUGGAAAGCUCCGGCGGAGAGGGAUGGACUCGCGGCCUAUCAGCUUGUUGGUGAGGUAACGGCUCACCAAGGCAACGACGGGUAGCCGGCCUGAGAGGGUGACCGGCCACACUGGGACUGAGACACGGCCCAGACUCCUACGGGAGGCAGCAGUGGGGAAUAUUGGACAAUGGGCGAAAGCCUGAUCCAGCAACGCCGCGUGAGGGAUGACGGCCUUCGGGUUGUAAACCUCUUUCAGUAGGGACGAAGCGAAAGUGACGGUACCUACAGAAGAAGGACCGGCCAACUACGUGCCAGCAGCCGCGGUAAUACGUAGGGUCCGAGCGUUGUCCGGAAUUAUUGGGCGUAAAGGGCUCGUAGGCGGUUUGUCACGUCGGGAGUGAAAACUCAGGGCUCAACCCUGAGCGUGCUUCCGAUACGGGCAGACUAGAGGUAUGCAGGGGAGAACGGAAUUCCUGGUGUAGCGGUGGAAUGCGCAGAUAUCAGGAGGAACACC